rfam:Felis catus isolate Cinnamon breed Abyssinian chromosome X, whole genome shotgun sequence.
GCCUGGGUGGCUCAGUUGGUUAAGUGUCUGACUUCAGCUCAGGUAAUGAUUUCACAGUCUGUGAGUUCGAGCUCAGCAUCAGGCU